UACGGAGGGUGCAAGCGUUAUCCGGAUUUACUGGGUUUAAAGGGUGUGUAGGCGGACUUUUAAGUCCGUGGUGAAAUCUCCGGGCUCAACCCGGAAACUGCCAUGGAUACUAUUUGUCUUGAAUAUUGUUGGAGGUGGGCGGGAACGGGUCAGUGAUGAGCGGUGAAAUGCAUAGAUAUGACCCGGAACACCGAUGCGAAGGCAGCCCACUAAGCAAUGGAUUG
rnacentral:rRNA from 1 species